CCUACGGGUGGCAGCAGUCGAGAAUCAUUCACAAUGGGGGAAACCCUGAUGGUGCGACGCCGCGUGGGGGAAUGAAGGUCUUCGGAUUGUAAACCCCUGUCAUGUGGGAGCAAAUUAAAAAGAUAGUACCACAAGAGGAAGAGACGGCUAACUCUGUGCCAGCAGCCGCGGUAAUACAGAGGGCACAAGGGUUGUGCGGAAUCACUGGGCGUAAAGCGUGCGUAGGCUGUUUCGUAAGUCGGGUGUGAAAGGGGCGGGCUCAACCCGCGGACGGCACAUGUGACUGCGAGACUAGAGUAAUGGAUGGGGAACCGGAAUUCUCGGUGUAGCAGUGAAAUGCGUAGAUAUCGAGAAGAACACUCGUGGCGGAGGCAGGUUCCUGGACAUUAACUGACGCUGAGGCACGAAGGCCAGGGGAGCGAAAGGGAUUAGAUACCCGGGUAGUC
rnacentral:rRNA from 1 species